GAUGAACGCUGGCGGCGUGCCUAAUACAUGCAAGUCGAGCGAACGGACGAGAAGCUUGCUUCUCUGAUGUUAGCGGCGGACGGGUAAGUAACACGUGGAUAACCUACCUAUAAGACUGGGAUAACUUCGGGAAACCGUAGCUAAUACCGGAUAAUAUUUUGAACCGCAUGGUUCAAAAGUGAAAGACGGUCUUGCUGUCACUUAUAGAUGGAUCCGCGCUGCAUUAGCUAGUUGGUAAGGUAACGGCUUACCAAGGCAACGAUGCAUAGCCGACCUGAGAGGGUGAUCGGCCACACUGGAACUGAGACACGGUCCAGACUCCUACGGGAGGCAGCAGUAGGGAAUCUUCCGCAAUAGGCGAAAGCCUGACGGAGCAACGCCGCGUGAGUGAUGAAGGUCUUCGGAUCGUAAAACUCUGUUAUUAGGGAAGAACAUAUGUGUAAGUAACUGUGCACAUCUUGACGGUACCUAAUCAGAAAGCCACGGCUAACUACGUG
rnacentral:rRNA from 1 species